UUAAUAAUCAGCUAUCAGUACUGGCCAAGAAAAUCUUUAUUGGUGCACCCCUACUUGGCACCCUUAAGGUAUCUGAAUAGUAAAGGGGAAUGGUUUUUCCAUUUUGAGGGAGGAAGUAAGGAAUGCACACACAUAAUUAAUUCCAGUUUAAAUGCUGUUUAGGUAUAUAUUCGAGGACUUCAUUGUAGAACCAUUUGCAUAUUUAUUAGCUUUGAUGGGCGGUAUAUGAAGAUUUUGUUAAUGAAUAAAAAAACUCUCUUGUUCACCUUUAGGAAUUCUUGUGAUGUUUGCUUAUAAAUAUAAUGCCCCGAUGUUAUUUUUUGACUAAAGCUCAUUCAUAAGAGUUACUCCUAUUAUAGCUGCAGUCAUUGGCCUAAACUUUUCACUUUGAAAUACAGGCAACUUCAGACAUGCAAGUCUACUCUCUCUUUUACAGGCAUGUUUUGUUGUUUGUUUUGUACUUAGCACCACAAAAUAAUUUAUUUGAAUUGGUUAACAGUCGUUCAUUGGUAUCAAUAAAUCAGCAUUUGGCUUUGUUUUGUUAGGGGCUUUUGCUUUUUAUAGAGAUCUUUCCUGGGUAUCUUACUAAAUGCUUGUCUAAAUAGACCUACUGUGUAGUUGGGAGGGAUAUUUAGAAAAGCUUUCUGAAAUGUUCAGACAUCCUAUAAGGUAUUGGUGGUAGGUAGGGCUUUCUCAUGAUUAGUCACUGAAUUAAGAAUUCAUAUGAGAUCCCUUGAUCCAAAGCAUGGAUUUAGUGAUCUACAGGUUUUCCUUCCCCUGUUUUUCUAGGAAAAUAAAAAGAUUGAUUGGGAAAUGCAGAGACCAGAUCUUGUUUGUUCUGGGGCUGUUUUUUGACUCUUUACCUACUUUUUAUUUAAUGUCUCUUGGUGUUUUAUGAUUAACUUGUCAUAUCCAAGCUUGUAAAAAGGCUGUGGAAGGAAAACAAAUAUGUAUGUAUACCCAUGCUGUUUCAUCUUUUGAUCAUUGUCAUAAGGUAUGGGAUAUUAAAGAUGAAGCAUUUUUAAAUACUCUCACUGGGAUAAAUAUUGGUCUUAAUCUUAUUGCUUUUAUAUAGGAUUCUGUUUAAGUCCAUGGAAGUGCUACAUUGAUAAGGUCUUUAGGAUCAGCUGCUGAGUUUGUGACUUGACUUCCUUCCUGCACUCCUCUGCAUCUCUUAAAUUAAGCUCAGAGGAACUUACCAGCUAUUUUUCUUUCUUGACAGCAUAUUGCCUUCGGGAAAUGGCCUCUCCUAAAUCUUUGCUGAGUCUCGUAACCUUCACUUUUGGGUCAGCAAUAGGAUUUUUCUUAUGCUAUGUGCUAUUUAGUAUAGUGCUAGAAGAACAAGUUGAGAUCCAUCCUCAUGUUCUUCACAAUGAUCCUCACGGUGAGCACAUAGAAGAAACUGGAAAUAAUCAGCUGGAGGGACAAAUGAACUUCAAUGCAGAUGCUGGGCAGCAUAAAGAUGAAAACAAACUUAUUGCUGAUGACUUGUAUCAGAAGGUCAAAAUACUCUGUUGGGUCAUGACUGGGCCUCAGAAUCUAGAGAAGAAAGCCAAACAUGUUAAAGCCACUUGGGCACAGCAUUGCAAUAAAAUAUUAUUUAUGAGCUCUGAGGAGAAUAAAGAUUUUCCAACCGUGGGCCUAGAAGCCAAAGAAGGCAGGGACCAAUUGUAUUGGAAAACUAUUAAAGCUUUCCAGUAUGUACAUGAUCAUUAUUUUGAUGAUGCUGACUGGUUUAUGAAAGCAGAUGAUGAUACAUAUGUCAUAUUGGAUAAUUUGAGGUGGCUUCUUUCAAAAUACAGUCCAGAACAACCAAUAUACUUUGGAAGAAGGUUCAAGCCUUAUGUGAAACAGGGCUACAUGAGUGGAGGAGCAGGAUAUGUACUGAGCAAAGAAGCUCUAAAGAGAUUUGUUAAUGCAUUUAAAACCAACAAAUGUUCUCAUAGCUCUUCUAUUGAAGACCUUGCACUUGGAAAAUGCAUGGAGACUAUUAACGUAGAAGCUGGAGAUUCAAGGGACACAAGUGGUAAAGAAACUUUUCAUCCCUUUGUGCCAGAACAUCUCUUAAUCCGAGGAUACCUACCAAAGACAUUUUGGUAUUGGAAUUAUAAUUAUUAUCCUGCUGUGGAGGGUCCUGGUUGCUGCUCAGAUCUGGCAGUUUCAUUCCACUAUGUUGAUCCCACAACUAUGUAUCAAUUGGAAUAUCUGAUUCAUCAUCUCCGUCCAUAUGGUUACCUCUAUCGGUAUAACCCCGACUCUCCCAAGAGCCUAGAAAAACAAAGCAAGAGUGAAGCAAAGGAUAGCGAUGCAAAAGAUAAAGCGGAAAACCCCUGAAAAUUAAUCAGACUCUUUAUCAACAGUGAAGUGGAUAAUAGUGCACUGAAAGAAGUAUUGUGGAAUGUUUAUCUUGCAGUAUGUUUGCAUAAGAUGAGGUUACCAUACGUCCAGGUUUUCCUGGACAUGCCCUCCUUUCUUGGCUCCCUGUCCUCGUGUCUGGGUGGAUUUUUAAAAUACAAGCCAAUGUCCAGGUUUUUGCUCUGCCUCUACUUUCCCAGGGACUAGCAGCUUGGCUGCUUGGGCAAGGUGAUUGGCUGUUGGGGGUCACGUGCUCUACUCACCAGGUAAGCAUGUGUGUGUGUGCAUGGGAGCUACAUGGGGGGCAGGGUGCUGUGGGUCCUGAGUGAGGGGCACUGGCAGUGCUGGGGGACGGGGGGCUGGGGGCUUAGAAGUGAGGAGCAGAAGCAGGGCACGGGCAUAUCACUGCCCGUCUCCUCCCUUCUUCCCCCCACCCCGCGCGCGCACACAGUUUUAUGCCUCUCUGCCCCUGCUCCCCCCUGUCUCCCACAGGUGUCUUCUUUUUUGAUACUGGAAGUAUGGUAACCCUAGCUAAGAUAAUACACUUAUACUUCCCAGUUAAACAUGCAGUGCCCUUGUCCUUUGACUGUGAUGUCAUUUCCCUUUGUUUGUUCUUAGAUUUUUCUCUCUGGAAAUGCUUCCUAUAGUUUCCUGCAUGUCAAAACUGUUCAGAUUAUUUUUCUUUCACACGUUGCCCCUAGCUUUUUCUAUACUUUCACUUGUGGAUGUUUUAGUGAGUAAAUUUAGCAGACUGGUUCCCUGAUAGGAUGGGAGUAAUUUUUUUCAAUUCAUUGUACUCUGGUAGUCUGCAGAAAAGUAGUGAUUGCUUGGAUAAUGUAGUUCCUAUUUAACAUUAAUAAAUACUGCAUACACCGAUGAAAACACACACCUUCAUAGAAGUCUUUCCAAUCAGCCCUAUAUUUCACUUGACCAGAAAAAAUUGUGUGGAACUGCACAAGUAUAAUAUUUCUUCAUGUUACUGUGUAUUGUGUUUAAGUUACUCUGCAACAUCAACUGCAUGAACUGUACAAAGAAUAUUUUGGGAGAUGCAUCUUGCUGCUGGGCAGUAUGUCCCAAAGAAAAUCUGUGAAUGUUUGUUUGGAUUUUAAGACAAGAAAAUAAUUCCAUUAGUGGCAAACUGGUUGGUGACUUGUAAGUGCUCACCAUAUGAAUUUAUUUUUAAAUAACUAUUUUAAGUGCCUUUUGACGGGUUUUUUUUUUAAGCAAUUAACUUAAUUUGAGAAUUGCGCAAAUAAAGUAAGUUGUCUCACACAAAUGCAUGUCUUGUUUUCAUUUAUUCCACUCAAGAAUAUCAGUGUAAUAGUAUUUUGAGAAGUUUCCUGGGUCUUUGAGAAGUUUCCUGAUUCUGUAGACAAACAAACGUUUCUCACUUUUGUGAUUUUUUUUUUCUUUUGUUUGUGAAACUUUGAAUAUGUACAACUCAUGUUGUUGACAAAAUAACAUUUUGGGGGGUAAUUUUCUUUUUGUAUGUUUCUGUGUAUAUAGUUAAGCCUAGAUCUUGUAAAUUGGAUGCAUCCAGGGCAGGCCUUUGAUCCAGCAAAGUAAUAGUAAUUCAGUGAGACUCCCAUGUUGGAUCUAACUCUUAAACAACAACAAAACCUCAACAGUAGAUCAGAACUUCCCCCUGCAGAGUACCAUUUGAAACUUCACUUUUUUUUCUUUCUAGGACCGUUUAUAAAUAUCUUUCAAUGAAUAAUGUAUUUUUCUUAUGCACAAAAAUUAUAAUUUAAAAUUUAAUACUGUGUGGUUUAUUUUACUUGAGAAAAUAACUUCUGAAGAGUGGUAAACAGUCUUCAUUCAGGAUUGAGCAGCACCCUGUGACCAGUCUGAAAACUUUAUGUAAAAAUCUUUACGGCUUAUCAUACUUGUCCUGUUUCAUAACAGUUUGUUUAAAUUUUUUUUUUAAGCUUUAUCUUAUUGCCAAUUUGUGACUCCAUGGAAAUAAAGAUUCAAAAUCUGUAAAAUGCAGAUCCAGAACUUGGCUUAGCAUGCAUUCCUGUUAUGGGAUUGUGACAAAUGAUUAAUGUGGGACUGAUGACACACAUGCACCGUUAAUUAAGCACGUGCUAAAAUAUUUGCAGAAUCGGGCCUUAUUGAGUAUAUGUUUUGCUAUCUAAAAGUGACAGUUUCACAUUAAGUAUGAUGCUUUGGGGGAAACACACACUGUAUGUACUUAUUGUGAAAAACAAAUGCUGUCUUCUAUUUUCCUCAUUUGUUGCAAAAAGAAUAUUGCUGGGUCUGCAGGAAGAGCAUUCCAGUCUUGGUUAGAGGGACCAUAAUUUUCACUCUACAAAAUAAUUUUAAGGGGAUAUAUAUACAUAUUGGUGUCUUCUGACUACAUACUGAAAAUAACGAUCUAAAAUUGCAACUUUAUUUGGAAUUAUUUUUCAAACAUUUCUGCUCCUGUGCAACUUAAACUUGGAACUAUUUCUGUGUUCCUGUCCAGAUAUAAUUUAUUUAAUUGGACUGUAAAGUUAUGUGGCAUAAUUUGUGCUUCCAGACUUACAGCCAUAAGAACAUACGAACUGUCGUUUACUGGGUCAAAUCAUAGGUCUAUCUUGCCCAGAGUGGAUGCUGAAACAGAGUGAACUGCACAUGACAGGUUUUUUCCAAUGUUCCUCUCACUUGCAGCCUUCAGCAGUUAGGCUAAGUACAGACAUUUGAGGAGGUUAAAUUGUGUUCGAAGUGUUUAAACUUGGCUUGUCCCAGUGCCAACCUUACACUUACAGACCUGGUCUCAGUGACCGACAAUCAGUUUAAAGCAUGUAUCUUGUAUUCAAAGAACAUUUAAGAGCAAGACAAACUAGGGGAAAAGACCAUUAAUAAUUUAUAUUUUAGCUGCAAUUAGAAUUAUUUCCUUCUUUGCCAUUGCUUGGUUCUCUUUACAGAGCUACAAUACAAAAUUGUCAAAUAAAAGAAUAAACCAGAAAUAGGAGCUAAAGAAAAAAUGAAACUAAAUUUGUGCUUAAACCAUGCCUAGCAGGCUCAUUUGACCAUCAACAUACUGCCUGCUGGGUGUAAAGGAUGGGUUAAUCUUUUUCACUCAUCUCUACCAUUGUCAGUGUUUGCUACUAGCAGCCCUAAAACUACCUAGGUUGGGUCAAUUUCAAGAUGUUUUUAAGUACUUUAUACUGUAUGAAACAGGUGUUCCUGUUGUACGCUUUCAACGCUUUCCAUGUUAAGUAGGAACUCAGGAAGAGAAAGAGAUGCAGGAGCCAUUAAGUCCAACUACUCACUCUUGCUGUGGGGGCAGAAAUGCAAUAAUUUGCAACUAGUUUGAGCUGCUUCAAUUCAGUUUCUUGCUUUUUCUACUAUGGGGCCUUGCAAGAACAAUUGAGUUUAACUUCCCAAAGUACAAAAGAGAAAAUCUUCCAUGUUGGUUAACCAACAAAAUGCAGCAGGAACCUUUAUUCCACUAUACUGUACACUGGAAUUCGGGUUUGAUUGGGAGUUGCAAACUGAAUUUCACUUUUCCCUCCGUAUGUCCUCUUGUUUCUCUACUGCUAUAUUGUUGAAACUGAGUAGUCAGUUUCCCCCCAGCACUGGUAAAAGCUUAGUAUUAGAGCUAUUCAUUGCAUAAAUAAGAGUCAUAAUGAGUCUUCAUUUUAUGACAUUGAAAUAUUCUUCAGUCAAAUGAAGUGCAUAGGUGGACUGCCUCCAAACCCUGAAUUAAGCGUGUACUGAAGUUUUGCAUUAGUUUACUGGAUCCAAUCUGCUUUAAGUUUCUUUUCAGAAAAGGGUAUUGAGGAUCUUUUGUAUAAAAAUCUUUCUAAGAGGCAAAGACAUUUAUUUAUUUAUUUGCACAAAGAGAGCAUCUACCAGAAGAAGAGUGACCAUAACAUUUCAAAAUAAGCAAAUUUGGCUAAACUAGAUGCGACUCGGUUGAGAUGUCUUGUGUGAUGCUUUUUCAUUCCAAAUUUGGAUCUUGAGUCUGAAACCUGUCAUAUGCCUCAAUAUUCAGACUUGUACAACAGGUGCCAUAAAUGUCACCAGACUUGAAAAAGUAAACAGAAGAUUGUUAACUGACCUUUUCACUUGUGCUUAUUUUUGUAAAAGUUAACUACUCCCUUCUGGAUCCAACCUUGAAAAAUAAAAUCUAAAGCAGCUAAAGAGAAUCUUCUGGACUUUUUUUGAGAAUAAGAAAUGCUUUUCACAUCAAUCUCAUGAUACACACCUAGCCCAUCUUACUUUCGGCUUCAACACUUUAAAGACUUUAGAAACCUACAAGUCAUUAUAUGAGUACAAAAAUGCUUGCAGGAUAAGGGCCUUAGUUAUCCUAAAUGCCAACUGCAGCUCAUAUGAAUCCACAUGGGGCAGAUUGUGAUAAAGCCAAGCAAAUUUACUAAAAUUCCCAGCCGGACUCCUGACAGCUCUGUACAGUGUACAUAUUGAUUCUUCAUCCUUCCCCCCGAAUGUCUUUUGAUGUAAUGCUGAUCCCAUUUAAGUCAAGUUUUACCAUAUAUUUAGGGAUUCCAGAGCCUUACUGCUAAUGUUUUUGCAUUAAAAAUAAAACACAGGGGAGGGGGGCGGUUGCUUGGGUUUGUUGUUUUUUUUGUGAUAGAACUGGUCUAAACAGAUUUGAAUAAAAAUUUUCAUAGAUAAUUUCUGUUCCUUGUCGUGUUUGUCAAAUUGGUUUGUUUUUUUUUUUUGAAAAAAGGAAACUUAGAAAAACUUCUUAAAAUUUGCUAAAACUAAUUGGCAUUUUCCAAAUACCUGUAUCAGGGAUGGCCAGAGUUAGUCACCCUGGGAGGCACAUCUGAUCCUCCAUUGAAGUUCAAGAGCCAGAGAAUGAGUGGGGGGUGGUGAGCAACUCAGAGUGGAAGUGACCACACCUUCCCCUGCACUGCUGAGCCAUUCAGGCUUUCCCUGUAGUGAGCACACCCUGGGGUAAGUGGCGUAGCUGCAGCCCCGACCUGGCAGAGCAGCACCUGAGCCAGCAGUGCUAGAGGGAGAAAGGGAGAGACCAGGGCAGGGUGCACUCCCUGCAGGGAAAGCCGGAGCAGCAGUAGGUGCUGGGCUGCACUGUCCCCCAGAGUCAUCUCAGGAAGAAAUGAGCAGGGCUGCGGCCAAUUUCCAGAGCCACAAGUCUCGCAAGGCACAGUUUGGCCAUCAUAGACCUAUAUCAACUACUAGUCCUGAAAUGGGAGUGCAGAGGGGUGAUGACCCUUUUCCCUUUAAAAUGUUAAAUAUUUGUAUAAGUAAUCUGAGAUAAUUGAUAUUUUAUUUUCAAGUGUUUGACAUCUCAUGUGAGGUAGCUAAGAUGCAAAGCUCUAACUGAUCAGUUGCCCAUAAAAUACAGAAUUAUUUCCUGUCAUAUGUUUAUUUCAAAGGUAAAAAUAAAUAAUGUUGCUGAUUGUAGGCAUCACUGUGUUUCUAGAGAAAUAAGCUGAGCUCUAUAUGUAGUGACGGAAGUUUCACUAACAUACGUUUCAUCUGUGAUCUAUAAUUGAACUGGUAGUUUGCCUUCCUGUGUUUUACAGAAGUCCCAUCUAAUAAAAGCCAUUUCUUGUCCAUUUAUUUGUAAGGAUGUAUUUUGUUUUGCUUUGUUUUUUAGUUUUUUUUAAUGAUGUACUACGUCAUACCUUUUGAGAGAGGAAGCCUGUGUCAGUGGUCCCCUGCUAAUAAGUCUGGUGGUUUUCUAAAAACUCUGCUGGUCUUAAUUUUUCUGAAUUCGCCUAAAAUCACUUAGGUGUUGGAGUUAGAGAUCUGGGCACAGUUGUUUGAAGUGUGGCAUUGAAAGCUAGCCCCUUUUUUGGAUCAAUCUUGCCAUAUUGCCAAGGAUCAAAACUCUUCUAUGCAGAUUUCUAUUGUUAUCUUGAGCUAUGUUGUCUAUCAUCUAAUAAAACACCCUCUUCUUUCUCUCCAGAGUGGGCCUUUCUACUCUAUACUGAAAUACCUGCCAUUUGCUACAUCUUUCAGUAUUAGGAGUGCUAAAGAGAAGCGUUUUGAAUAGUUAUAUUGACCUUACUCAAAAGCAGUAUAUUUACUCAGUUAUCAGAACAAAGAGGGCAUGGAAACAAUUUCCCUGUCUCCACAGUGAUCUAUAGAGUGCACUUGUGAUGACAGAACUAAUGGGAAAACUUCUACCAUUUUUUUUUCCAGAAUAUAAUUUGUAUUGUACCCUAUUAGCUAAAUGUAUUUAUUAGCCCCAAGACUGCAAAUAAGCAUGUAGCUGAAUUAUCUUGAUCUAAUA